GACGAACGCUGGCGGCGUGCUUAACACAUGCCAGUCGAACGGAAAGGCCUGCUUUCCCUUGUGGAUUGCGGGUACUCGAGUGGCGAACGGGUGAGUAACACGUGAGUGAUCUGCCCCCAACUUGGGUAUAAGCCUGGGAAACUGGGUCUAAUUCCCGAUAGGACUGCAGGGUGGUGCCUGUGGUGGAACACGAUUUUCUAGUGGUUGGGGAUGAGCUCGCGGCCUAUCAGCUUGUUGGUGGGGUAAUGGCCUACCAAGGCGGCGACGGGUAGCCGGCCUGGGGGGGCGAACGGGAGCAUGGGACAUGGCACACGCCCCAGCCGCAGGCGGGAGGAGGGAGUGGGGGGUAAUGGACGAGGGGCGGAAGCAGGAAGCCCGCGCGAGGGGAGGAGGGUUUCGGCUUGGGGAUUUUAGUCGGUUGAGAAGGGAGAGGAAGCGACUGGGUAGGAGGUGAGGUGACGGUAGCGAAAGAGAAAGCACCGGCUAACUACGUG
rnacentral:rRNA from 1 species